UGACAUAUGGCAUUAAAUGCAUCGUAUG
rnacentral:sRNA from 1 species